CCUACGGGUCGCUGCAGUGGGGAAUAUUGGACAAUGGGCGAAAGCCUGAUCCAGCCAUGCCGCGUGUGUGAAGAAGGCCUUCGGGUUGUAAAGCACUUUCAGUGGGGAAGAAAGCCUUGGGGCUAAUACCCUCGAGGAAGGACAUCACCCACAGAAGAAGCACCGGCUAACUCCGUGCCAGCAGCCGCGGUAAUACGGAGGGUGCGAGCGUUAAUCGGAAUUACUGGGCGUAAAGCGCGCGUAGGCGGUCUGAUAAGCCGGUUGUGAAAGCCCCGGGCUCAACCUGGGAACGGCAUCCGGAACUGUCAGGCUAGAGUGCAGGAGAGGAAGGUAGAAUUCCCGGUGUAGCGGUGAAAUGCGUAGAGAUCGGGAGGAAUACCAGUGGCGAAGGCGGCCUUCUGGACUGACACUGACGCUGAGGUGCGAAAGCGUGGGUAGCAAACAGGAUUAGAUACCGAGUAGUC
rnacentral:rRNA from 1 species